ACAGUUUUUAAGCAGUGUUUUUUAUUCCCUGAAUAAAAAUGAAAAAAAGACCCCAACCCUACACCUUUUUAUGCUAACAGUUAAACUGGAAGACUGAAACAGAAAGAUGCUUUUUUACAUUUCGAUCAAACGACUGAAAACCUGCUAGCUCAAGAUAAAAGCCAUGAUCUUAGGAUCUUUGGGAAAGAAAGGGGAAAAAAAAGAAAGAAAGAACACUGAAGGAUUGAAGAAAUAUGUAAAUGAAAGAUGACAGAAUUUAGUUGUUUUGGCCAAAAAUACAAGCAACACCUAAAAAUCUUUACAAUAAGCCUUUGCUGUAGUCAAAUUAUUAGCAGCUGCCUUUCCCAGCACUUGCUACUGCCUCCUGACACAGCUUGCUCACUCACUCGUCCAGUGCAUGACUGGGCAAUCUUUUAAAGCUCUUCUUAGUUUACCCUGUAAGCGCAGGGCAUCUCGCAAAAGCGACUACGUGGUCUGGGAUCCCCACAAACGACUACGUAACUUCUUCAAUAGUUGCACCGUUAAUUACAAAGAAACCAAAUGAAAAAAAAUACAUAAAAUGACAGUGUUCUUGUGAGUAAGUAUUUUUCCCCUGUGUCAAGACAACCAAUUUAACUGCAGAUGCCAACUAAAAACCUGGUCGACACCAGCGUUGAAGAACGGGCAAGGAAAGGCACUCCAGCUCCCACGGGAGUUCUAUUUUCCACAGCCGUGUCCGUAGCUGAUGGAGAGGGGAGGGAAGCUGGAGCCGACGGCUCCCCACACCGCGGAACACCAAGCGAGAAACCCCCCGCGAAAACCUCGCGGAAGAAACUUCACUACACUUCAGCAGCGAGAAGUUUGGCCAAGGAUUUUACGGACCCCUCGCAUCCUCUCUUCGGUGACCCACCUCGCUCAGUCCUCACAGUGAGCAUCUCUGCAGACCAGCACUGACCUGCCAAGCACACGGCCGCCCAAAGCCCGUGCCACUCAAGCAUGGAACGCUUGUCCUGAGAGCAACAGCAACCACUUGUACACUCAGCACUGGCCAUGCCACUUAGUUAAAAUAUAGAAAACCUUUACAAGAUGCAAUCAUUUUUUAAAUGUGUGCAUCACAUAUAUCCAUGUACACAUCUGUCACACUUCAAUAAAAAUAAACGCUCUUAAGUACA
rnacentral:lncRNA from 1 species